AACCAACCUCGCCACUGUACACUGGAGAAGCCUGGUUGCUCGCCUGCUGCCUUUGGACUAUGGCCCCGUGUUAAAAGACAUCUUUUUCCCUGCAGAAAAGACUUAUUCGUGCUUUUCUGCCGGGUGUUCGGUAGAUUCAAUCUACUGAACAACCGCACGAAUGAAUAGACCACCUGGGAGCUGGAGUGUGCCGGCAAUUAACC